CGGGGUGCAGCAGGCGCGAAACCUCUGCAAUAGGCGAAAGCCUGACAGGGUUACUCUGAGUGAUUCCCGCUAAGGGGAUCUUUUGGCACCUCUAAAAAUGGUGCAGAAUAAGGGGUGGGCAAGCCUGGUGUCAGCCGCCGCGGUAAUACCAGCACCCCGAGUGGUCGGGACGAUUAUUGGGCCUAAAGCAUCCGUAGCCGGCCACGCAAGUCCUCCGUUAAAUCCACCCGCUCAACGGUUGGGCUGCGGAGGAUACUACGUGGCUAGGAGGCGGGAGAGGCAAGCGGUACUCAAUGGGUAGGGGUAAAAUCCUUUGAUCCAUUGAAGACCACCAGUGGCGAAGGCGGCUUGCCAGAACGCGCUCGACGGUGAGGGAUGAAAGCUGGGGGAGCAAACCGGAUUAGAUACCCGGGUAGUCCCAGCUGUAAACGAUGCAGACUCGGUGAUGGGAUGGCCUCGAGCCAUCCCAGUGCCGCAGGGAAGCCGUUAAGUCUGCCGCCUGGGGAGUACGGUCGCAAGACUGAAACUUAAAGGAAUCGGCGGGGGAGCACAAGGGCGAAUUCGCG
rnacentral:rRNA from 1 species